GCGGGUGUGGCUGGAAUUAGCAGACGCGCCGGACUAGGUCUCCGGUGAGUCGCAAGACUCAUGCAGGUGCAAAUCCUGUCACCCGCACCA
rnacentral:tRNA from 1 species